CUUUUGGAAUAUGCGACUCAUUUUCAUAAAUACGAAAUUAACGAAGACUAUGAUAACAAAUGAAGAGUUACUUUUUAGAGUAAUUGCAUCUACCAUAGAAGAUGCAAAAUAAAAAAGUUGUAGUUCUUUACUACCUUUAAGACAGGUGUUCAGAAAGGUUUUGUUUUAUUCAAUGAGAAUAAAGUGCUUUAAAUAAGAAAGGGUAGCCGAAAGGAAUAGGCAUCAAAUCAGGAUACUUAUCUCCAUCAUUACAGCCAUUUGAUUUCUCCCUUGAUCGUUUUCAGCGUCAAGCUUAUCUGAAGUGAUGUUAUUGCUUAAACCAUGCGACAUUGGAUUUGGAGAGAUAAAAGGAUGUCCAAGAAGCUGCUGUGCUAAGGAUUGGUUACCGUUCUCUAGAUAUAGACAUCUAUACAAAGUAUAUUACAUUAAAAGAUAGUAGCUAUAAAUUCUUUGUCACUUUAA